UCUUCAUAGGGUUUUGGGAAGACUGAGGCAAUCGUUGCUGAAGUCAAUGUUAUAAUGGUGAAUCGGGAUUUUUAAUGAAGUGGGUUUGAUUACUCUUGACUGUUUUGUGAAAUCGAGUUACGUCUGUGAUGAAGAAUUAAAAGGGUGUCUAUAGGAUUGAGUAUGCAGAGUGAAUGAAAUUUAUUGAGUUAAUCUAACGAGACGGUCAGUGGAUACAAGAUCGUGAGUAUAAAGCGGUAUCAAAGAUUAGCAGUUUGGGUUGUUCGGGAUUCUCUGUAACGUCUAGAGACCUACCGGCUGGGACAAAAAGGACUUUGGCGAGCAGUCGAAGGACAUCCAUAUAGAUUUACGGUGUAUUCUUGCAGUUGUUUAUAUUUCAACAGUCAAAAACUGAUAGACUAUUUGAAUAUUAGCGAAUCUCCAUACUACCUUCUACAGCCAGACGCCCUGCGCGUUCUCGAGCAGGAAAGUACAUAAUACGACAAAAGUGGUGAACCUGACGUGAAAGCUUGAGGUGGAAGGUAUUGGAUUUUGUUUGAUUUUAUUUUUAUUUUUAUGGAGAACGAAAAUAAAAAUUUUGAAGGAUCUUUGGGAGGAGUUUCUGGUGGGGGUUCUUCUAAAGGACAAGGUAUGCACAUGGAUCCGUCUAUUGCUAGUAUGUUUCAAGCCUUUUCAUUAUCAAUGCAGCAAUAGCAAAGCAAUGAUCGAAAGGAAGCUUUGGCAACCAAAGCAUUGCAAGCAGUGGUCAAUAAAAUUGAUCAAUUUGAUGGAAGGAAUAUUUCAAGGUAUUUAAGAUGUUAUGUUCGUGAAAUGGAAUUAAAUCGGGUUUCUGAGAAGAAAAUGGUUGAACUAUUUGGACUUGCCACGAUAUCGGAGAUAAGAGACCAUAUUACAUCGAUUACGGAUCAUUAUGGGAAUUCAUGGGAGGUUUUUUCACAUGCAUUGAAAGACGAAUAUUUCUUGGAAGAUGCUGAUCGCGUUACUAAAAAGCUGUUUCUGGAAUGGAUUGAACGGCCCAAUAAGAAUUUGCAAGCAACAGAGCUACUAAGGGAAUUUGAGAGGCAAUACUCUCAAUUAUCAAAGGUAGAAAAAUUAACAUUGGAGCCGAACAAAGUUGAUCUAUUUCUUCAAGCUGCUGAUGGAGAAUUGCAAGGGAAAUUAGAACUCCUUCUUGAAGACAAAGAAGAAGAUGAAGGAUUGACAACAAAGUGGAAGAACGUUGAAGAUGCGGUGGGGUUGCUUACAAAAAGAGAAAGGAGGAAGGAUAGGAGCAAUAUUCCAAAAACAGUACAAGCACCCAAAGCUUCAGUACGUACAACACCACCAACAAUGCCUAUAGUUCAACCUUCGGCAUCCUUAUCAAAGAAAGCACAUAUGGGGAUGGAAGAAAUUAUACGAGGAAUGCGAGAUCUUCAAAUCAAAUUAGCAAGACUUGAAGAGAAUACUUCUACAAAUAAUUCAAAGAAUGUUUCAAAACAAGGAUAUGUACAAAGAUGCAUUUGGUGUGAUGACGCUUCACACACUAGAAAAGAUUGCAAUGAAUUUAAUAAUAUGAUACAGCAAGGAAGUAUUUGCUGGAAAGAUGGGAAGAUAACAUUAAAAGAUAGGGAGGAUCUUCUUCAAACCAAUUUUGGCAAGGGAGGAAUGAGAGCAUUGGUUCAAGAUUACCUAAAAGAGCAUGAAACAGCAACAUGAGAAAGUGCAAGUUAUGGUGCUAGAGUAGAUGAUGAAAUUGGUGGAAGUACGGAAACUAGUGAGUUUUGGGCUUCUGCCGUUUCUACAAUGCAAGAAGGAAAAUUACCUCGAGAAGCGUUAUUGAGGACUGCAGUUAUAAUACGAGGUAGAACAGGUUGGGAGGAUCCUGUUGAGUCUCUUUCAGUUCAUGCAUAUAUUGAUAAGAGCCAACAUGAAGCUUUGAUGGAAGAAAAGAGACGAGGAAAUUUUGAUGAUACGAGAGAAGGAAAUUCUUCUAAGAGGCAAACUCAAGGAGACAAGGCUCGGGAGGCAGCUUCACAAAAAUUACCUCUAAAGGAUACCUCAGCAUCAUUGGAAGAAGAAACAAAGGAGACAAAAGAUAAGAGCAAAUCAAUUGCUUAUAAGCUACUUUCUGACAUUGAAGCGGCAACAAAUUUGAAAGGGGUGUUGGAAGAAUGUAUAUUAAACGCUAAGGUGGAAUUCACAUUGAAAGAAGUUUUGAAAAUUGCAAAGAAGGAGUUUCAUGAUGUUAUCAUUGACAGCAUUAAGCGAAAGAGGCAAUUAAUGGAUGAAACUGGAAUGAGUCAUACUAUUGAUGCAAGAAUAUAUAAAGAAGAAGAAGAGGUUGAUAUUGGUUACAAGCAACCAGCAAAUGAAAAGAAUGGGUAUAAUCAACGAGUACAUUUCGAAGAUUAUAGUGACAAGGAAAUAGAAAUCUUGAGCCAUUAUACUCGAAAGCAUUGAGCAAGGGCAACUACUGAGGUAUUGGUAAAAGUAGGAGAUAUAGAUGAACCAAUUGUUGCUUUAGUCGACCAUGGUUCUGAAAUAAAUCUCAUGUCUAAAGAUCUUUAUAAGAAGCAAAAAUGGCCAAUUGAUAUGGAACAUGGAUGGACAAUACGAGCAGCUAAUAACACACGAGGCAAAUUAUAUGGAGCUUGUCCAGAUGUCAAAAUUUGGAUUGGGGAUGUUGCGACGGAGCAACAUUUCUUUGUUCAAGAUACAACGUCUUAUCCGUUGAUUUUAGGACAACGUUAUAUUACGGCAACACGGAUGGAAACAAAAAUACUUGACAAUGGUUCUGCUUAUGCAAGGGUACGUAGCGAAGAUGGGAGGAAAGCUGUACAAUUUCUAACAAUACCUCCUAACCAUGAACGGAAUCGAGAUAGGUUGAGGGAGAAACCAUUGCCAAAGAUUGUUGAAAGAUUUAAGGAUUUUGGGAAGGUACCACUGUAAAGUGAGAUUAUGAGGUACAAAAGAGGAGGUUCUCUUGCAAGAUGAAGGUGCCUUUGAUGCGAGUUUUUAUUGGUAUUUUCGAGAAUGGAAAUAUUAUGUAUAAGAAAGUUGAUGAUUUUAAAAGAAAAGAAAGAAAAAGAUUAUAUGAUAUUGAAGGAGAAUUACGCAAGUUAAGUAAGCAGCAAGAGAUUGAAAGUGAUUUGGAUAAUGAAGGUGACAAAGACGAACUGGACAAAGACGUAGAGAAUAUAUUCUAAAUCAAAUAGCAAUUGGAUAAAUUGGUGCAUAUCAGAGGAUGCACAGGUUCAGAGGGGGUGGAUGUCGUGUUGUAACACGAGUAUACCAUGAAAAUAUAAAGAAAGGGGACUUUUAUUAAUAUUCAGUUACCUCGAAUAUUGGGAGCAACGACCAACUCCAGUGCAAAUACUGAGUGGCCAGGUUCAGUCACCCCGUUACAGUCAGCCGGGGCAUACUGAAAUACUCCAUUCGAUUCCAAUAAUGGGAGUCACCAUGAAGAGAAAGGACCAAUUCACACGACGGGUGAGCCUGAUUCGAAGAGCCAAUUGGAUCCAAUUUCAAGAAUCCAAUCCAGGUCCUCUUACUUGAUAUGAGACCUAAAUUAGUCGGACAACCCAAUGUAGUCUAAUUACUGGAAAAUCCAAGUCUUACUACGGGCCUCAGCCAAUCUGACGCGAAGGACCAACUUGAUCCAAUUAUGGGAACAUCCGGGUCUUACUACUGGAUUCUUAGCCAAUAUGAGACUUGAAUUGGUCGCGCGACUCAAUGUGGUCCUGUUUACGGGGUUUCGAUUCUGUUUCAGGCUGUCCUGUUCUCUGUGCCGUUUCAGGGAACGUUGUUUUUGAUAAAAGGAUCUCUUAAAGGUAAAAAUGGAGGUGAAAGCUCUAACGAUGAGAGCCAAUUUCGGAUCCAAGCUCUGACGGUGGGAGCCAAUUCCGGAUCCAAGAUGGAGGAUUGAAGAAAUUCAGAAUUAAGGUUAAGAAAUGAGAGGGGAGAGAAUAAGUUUUGGAGGAGUUUUUGAGGGAUCAGAGAGCUAGCUUCAUGCUUCGGGCGGGGAAAAAAGAUAGAGAAUUGGGUUUUUUUUCUUCAUAGGGUUUUGGGAAGACUGAGGCAAUCGUUGCUGAAGUCAGUGUUGUAAUGGUGAAUCGAGAUUUUUAAUGAAGUGGGUUUGAUUACUCUUGACUGUUUUGUGAAAUCGAGUUACGUCUGUGAUGAAGAAUUAAAAAGGUGUCUAUAGGAUUGAGUAUGCAGAGUGAAUGAAAUUUAUUGAGUUAAUCUAACGAGACGGUCAAUGGAUACAAGAUCGUGAGUAUAAAGCGGUACCAAAGAUUAGCAGUUUGGAUUGUUCGGGG
rnacentral:lncRNA from 1 species